UAGCUAGUUGGUGAGGUAAAGGCUUACCAAGGCGACGAUCUGUAGCGGGUCUGAGAGGAUGAUCCGCCACACUGGAACUGAGACACGGUCCAGACUCCUACGGGAGGCAGCAGUGGGGAAUUUUGGACAAUGGGGGCAACCCUGAUCCAGCCAUGCCGCGUGAGUGAAGAAGGCCUUCGGGUUGUAAAGCUCUUUCGGCCGGGAAGAAAUCGCAUGGGCCAAUACCCUGUGUGGAUGACGGUACCGGAAUAAGAAGCACCGGCUAACUACGUGCCAGCAGCCGCGGUAAUACGUAGGGUGCGAGCGUUAAUCGGAAUUACUGGGCGUAAAGCGUGCGCAGGCGGUUUUGUAAGACAGGCGUGAAAUCCCCGGGCUUAACCUGGGAACUGCGUUUGUGACUGCAAGGCUAGAGUACGGCAGAGGGGGGUGGAAUUCCACGUGUAGCAGUGAAAUGCGUAGAGAUGUGGAGGAACACCAAUGGCGAAGGCAGCCCCCUGGGUCGAUACUGACGCUCAUGCACGAAAGCGUGGGUAGCAAACAGGAUUAGAUACCCUGGUAGUCCACGCCCUAAACUAUGUCAACUAGGUGUUGGGUGGGUAAAACCAUUUAGUACCGUAGCUAACGCGUGAAGUUGACCGCCUGGGGAGUACGGCCGCAAGGUUAAAACUCAAAGGAAUUGACGGGGACCCGCACAAGCGGUGGAUGAUGUGGAUUAAUUCGAUGCAACGCGAAAAACCUUACCUACCCUUGACAUGCCAGGAACUUGCCAGAGAUGGCUUGGUGCCCGAAAGGGAGCCUGGACACAGGUGCUGCAUGGCUGUCGUCAGCUCGUGUCGUGAGAUGUUGGGUUAAGUCCCGCAACGAGCGCAACCCUUGUCGUUAAUUGCCAUCAUUUAGUUGGGCACUUUAACGAGACUGCCGGUGACAAACCGGAGGAAGGUGGGGAUGACGUCAAGUCCUCAUGGCCCUUAUGGGUAGGGCUUCACACGUCAUACAAUGGUCGGUACAAAGGGUUGCCAAGCCGCGAGGCGGAGCCAAUCCCAGAAAGCCGAUCGUAGUCCGGAUUGCAGGCUGCAACUCGCCUGCAUGAAGUCGGAAUCGCUAGUAAUCGUGGAUCAGCAUGUCACGGUGAAUACGUUCCCGGGUCUUGUACACACCGCCCGUCACACCAUGGGAGCGGGUUCCGCCAGAAGUAGGUAGCCUAACCGCAAGGAGGGCGCUUACCACGGCGGGGUUCGUGACUGGGGUGAAGUCGUAACAAGGUAGCCGUAGGGGAACCUGCGGCUG
rnacentral:rRNA from 1 species